rnacentral:lncRNA from 1 species
GGCAAUUGUUCAUUAAACCCACAUGGAUCUCCCCACACCGGAGUGAGGCCACUGAGCAGGAAAUACAGAGGGCAGAAGUUGUUGGAAGGUGUCAGCUGCAGGCUCUUCCUCCCAAGCCUCCUUCGGGGUGGGCGGGGAUGUGAACUGAGACCUUUUGCAAAUAAUCCAGGCUGAGAUCCAGCCUCAUUUUAUACACAUGAGAAAACUGAGCCUCAAACAGUCAAGAAUUUGCUGGUGGAUCCAGGUUUCAAGACAGCGGUUGAGGUCUCACGUCCUCGUGGUCAUUAUCCCUGAAUGGCUGAAGCCCCUGGGCUGUUGUGAGCAGCUGAGAUGAAACGCAUGGGAGAGUAUUUCAAACCCACGGCGGUGAGAGGAAGUAGAGCCUCCAUC